AGUGUGUGUGUGUGUGUGUAUGCAGUGUGUGUGUGUGUGUGUGUGUGUGUGUGUGUGUGUGUGUGUGUGUGUAUGCAGUGUGUGUGUGUGUAUGCGUGUGUAUGCAGUGUGUGUAUGCAGUGUGUGUGUGUGUGUUGAUUCUGUAUUUCCCAUUCCAAUAACAAAAAAGGACUUGUCCAGACACGGCCGAGCAUAUUGUUUUCUGUGUGUGUGCGUGUGUGUUUAUUUAUCUUUUGGUUGUAGAUUCAAAUCACACAAGUGUUUUGAGCCUUGUUCUGUUCUCUUUUCUUUCUUUUUUUACUUCAUCAUCAUCAUAUGUCAAAAAUCAUAUCAUGAAACAAUCUCCACUGCACGUUGCAACUGAGGGUGUAAUUUGUGGUUGCAUAUUUUAAAUAUAUACUUGCAGACUUUUUGUCAAGCUCUCUGUCACUCAAAGUAGAAAAGUUUGGUCGUUAGUAAUGUGGUUAAUGUGUUUUUGUGUGAUGUUUAAGUUUAAUUUAAAGUAUGUGCCAACAGACUGCAGUUGAAAAUUAGCUUGAAGCUAACUCUUCAAUGCACCAAAUAGCAACAUUUGGGCUUAAUAUUGUACAUGGUCCCUUUACUAAUGAACUGAAUUGAAUGAAUAAAUACAAAUGUACUGUAGCACUAUAAGGCUGCUUGUUGUUUAAAGGGUUGGCAAAGGCUUUUAAGCACGAGGCAAUAAUCCUAAGGUUGCCUUUUUUCUUCAUCUUUGUGAUUUAAGUUUUCCCAUGAAGCUGUUUUGACAAGUUUUUUUUUCAUUUAAGAGGAAUUCAGCUUUUACAAAAUCCUGAAACUUAUCCCUGGGGCGGAAUUGUCAAUUUCAUCAUCCACCAUGUGCUUGCACUUAUCGGCCUGCUGUGAAUACUCAUAGCCAUACUCAGAAAUAAUGAUAACCAAAAACAGCUGAUUGGACUCUCAAAAAGAAAACAAAAAU